CUGUUUUAACAGACAAAUAUGCAGAUUUCAUAGAUGCUAAUAGAAAGGAAGAUCCUGUUGAACGUCUCAAAACACUGAAGAGACUGAUUCAUGAUUUACCUGAACAUCACUAUGAAACUCUCAAGUUUCUUUCUGCACAUCUGAAGACAGUAGCAGAGAAUU